UACGGAGGAUCCAAGCGUUAUCCGGAAUCAUUGGGUUUAAAGGGUCCGUAGGCGGCUUUAUAAGUCAGUGGUGAAAUCCGGCAGCUCAACUGUCGAACUGCCAUUGAUACUGUAGGGCUUGAAUUAUUGUGAAGUAACGUAGAAUAUGUAGUGUAGCGGUGAAAUGCUUAGAUAUUACAUGGAAUACCAAUUGCGAAGGCAGGUUACUAACGAUUAUAUUGACGCUGAUGGACGAAAGCGUGGGGAGCGAACAGG
rnacentral:rRNA from 1 species